rnacentral:rRNA from 1 species
UGUCGGAUUAUUGGGCGUAAGGGCUCGCAGGUGGUUUGUUAAGUUGGUGGUUUAAUCUCUGGGCUCAACCCAGAGUCAGCCUCCAAAACUGGCGAACUUGAGUACGAUAGGGGAUAGCGGAAUUCUCGGUGUAGCGGUGGAAUGCGUAGAUAUCGAGAGGAACACCAAUGGCGAAGGCAGCUAUCUGGAUCGUAACUGACACUCAUGAGCGAAAGUGCGGGGAGCGAACAGGAUUAGAUACCCUGGUAGUCCGCACCGUAAACGUUGUAUACUAGUUGUUGGCGGUUUCAACGCCGUCAGUGACGACGCUAACGCAUUAAGUAUACCGCCUGGGGAGUAUGCUCGCAAGGGUGAAACUCAAAGAAAUUGACGGGGGCCCGCACAAGCGGUGGAGCAUGUGGUUUAAUUCGACGAUACGCGAGAAACCUUACCUGGGUUUGACAUGGAUUUGACUGGGAUAGAGAUAUUCCUUCCCGCAAGGGCAGAUUCACAGGUGUUGCAUGGUCGUCGUCAGCUCGUGUUGUGAGAUGUUGGGUUAAGUCCCGCAACGAGCGCAACCCCUAUCUUCUGUUGCCAAUAUUAAGUUAGGCACUCUGAAGAAACCGCCGGUGACAAACCGGAGGAAGGUGGGGAUGACGUCAGAUCAGCAUGGCCCUUAUAUCCAGGGCUACACACGUGCUACAAUGGCCGGUACAGAGGGACGCAAAGCCGCGAGGUGGAGCAAAUCCCACAAAGCCGGUCUCAGUUCAGAUUGCAGUCUGCAACUCGACUGCAUGAAGUCGGAAUCGCUAGUAAUCGCAAAUCAGCAUGUUGCGGUGAAUACGUUCCCGGGCCCUUGUACACACCGCCCGUCACACCACCCGAGUUGGAGGUACCCGAAGAGGCUGUUGCCAACCGCAAGAGCAGUCGCUAAGUAAAUUCGCGAGGGGGUGAAGUCGUAACAAGUACCCGU